UUCACUUUAAUUUAUCUGCUGGCUUCAGAGUAUGAAAUAGUCACUAUUCCAGUAUGAACAGGAAGAGAAGUAACAUUCCUCAGUCCUGCCUCAUUGUUCAGUUUCCCAGCCAAAAACCUUCAGAGUGUAAGAGGCCUGUCAGAAAGGACAGUAGUUCCCAGACUUCCAGAUCCGGGACAGUGUAAGUGCUUCUGAUCAGAUGGAAGGUGUCCUGGGACUCAGAAGCCCAGAAACCACAGAGUCCUGAUGGGAGAAGGUAUCCCAAUGGAAGGGUAUCAUGAGACACAGGAGCCCAAGAACCACACAGCCCUCAGUCAGUACUUGGGAGUAGAAGACUCAUUUGGACUCAUUAAGAAGAAGUCAUGUGCUAUCGUGAAGGAGCUGAAGGUUGAAGGAGCCUUGUUUCUCAUGACUUACCUGAAUAUUUUCACCAGCUCUGGACUGAAUGUCAUAUUCUUCAGCCCUUGCCACGGGUAAACAAACUUACUUGGUCCUCUGAAGCUGAGUUAUUAUGUAAAUGCAUGUGUAUGAUUUAUUAAACAUGAUAUAUAAAAUACAAACUGUGGCUUGGUUGCUGGAACAUUUUGGGUCUUAUGUGUCCCUCAAAGGUCUAUGUGUUAAAGGCUUGGUCAUUAGCUGGUGCAUGUUUGAGGUAGUAAAAAUUCUUUAGGAGACGGGGUCUACUGGGAAGACUUUAGGCCACUAAGUGUUUUUAAAGAGGAUUAAGGUGAGUAGCUUUAAUGUUGAUCUGUCACAAUCUAGAAUUACCAAGGAAGAUAGU